rnacentral:miRNA from 1 species
AAAAACUUGAGUGAACUUUUGG